rnacentral:rRNA from 1 species
CCUACGGGGUGCAGCAGGCGCGAAACCUCCGCAAUGCGGGCAACCGCGACGGGGGGACCCCGAGUGCCGUCGGGGCAAAGCUCCGGCGGCUGUACCGGGGUGUAAAAAGCCCCGGGUAGAAAGCGGCGGGCAAGACCGCUGCCAGCCGCCGCGGUAAUAGCGGCGCCGCAAGUGGUGGCCGCUUUUAUUGGGCCUAAAGGGGCCGUAGCCGGUCCCGUGGGUCCCCGCCGAAAGCCCGCGGCUUAACCGCGGGAGUCGGCGGGGAAACUGCGGGACUUGGGACCGGGAGAGGCCGGAGGUACCCCCGGAGUAGGGGUGAAAUCCUGUCAUCCCGGGGGGACCGCCAGUGGCGAAGGCGUCCGGCUGGAACGGGUCCGACGGUGAGGGCCGAAAGCCGGGGGAGCAAACCGGAUUAGAUACCCGGGUAGUCCCGGCUGUAAACGAUGCGGACUAGGUGUCGGGGCGGCCACGAGCCGCCCCAGUGCCGUAGGGAAGCCGUUAAGUCCGCCGCCUGGGGAGUACGGCCGCAAGGCUGAAACUUAAAGGAAUUGGCGGGGGAGCACCACAACCGGUGGAGCCUGCGGUUUAAUUGGAUUCAACGCCGGAAACCUUACCGGGGGCGACAGCAGGAUGAGGGCCAGGUUGACGACCUUGCCGGACGAGCUGAGAGGAGGUGCAUGGCCGCCGUCAGCUCGUGCCGUGAGGUGUCCUGUUAAGUCAGGUAACGAGCGAGACCCCCACCCGCAGUUGCCAGCGGGCCCCGUAAGGGGCGCCGGGCACUCUGCGGGGAUCGCCGCCGAUAAGGCGGAUGAAAGUGGGGGCGACGGCAGGUUCGUAUGCCCCGAAACCCCCGGGCUACACGCGGGCUACAAUGGCGGGGACAAUGGGAUCCGACCCCGAAAGGGGAAGGAAAUCCCAUAAACCCCGUCGUAGUUCGGAUUGCGGGCUGCAACUCGCCCGCAUGAAGGUGGAAUCGGUAGUAACCGUGCCUCAGAACGGCACGGUGAAUACGUCCCUGCUCCUUGCACUCACCGACCCGUC